AUGCUUUCAUUUUUUGCAAGCAAAUCAAAGAAUCCCAAAUUCACAAAUGGGCUUUUUAAUUCUAUUAAAUUAAUAAAAUUAGGGAUUCCCAGGGGCAGCCAGAGGUGUGGACUUAGCCUCCCAGACUGCUCUGGGAAGAUUUUCUACCAUAUCUCCCUAGAGCAUGAGAUCCUGCUGCACCCCACGCUACUUCGGCCCCAACUUGCUCAACACGGUGAAGCAGAAGCUCGUCACCGAGGUGGAGGGGACCUAUACCAGAAAGUAUGCCUUUGUAAUCGCUGUAACCACCACUGACAAUAUUGGUGCUGGUGUGAUCCAGCCAGGCCGAGGAUUUGUCCUUUAUCCAGUUAAGCACAAGCUCAUUGUUUUCCAGCCCUUUAAAGGAGAAGUCGUGGAUGCUACUGUCACUCAGGUCAACAAGGUUGGACUCUUCACAGAAAUUGGGCCUAUGUCUUGCUUCAUCUCUCGACAUUCCAUCCCUUCAGAGAUGGAGUUUGAGCCUAACUCCAACCCACCAUGCUAUAAGACAAUGGAUGAGGAUAUUGUCAUUCAGCAGGACGACGAGAUCCACUUAAAGAUUGUGGGGACUCGUGUGGACAAGAAUGACAUUUUUGCUAUUGGCUCCCUGAUGGAUGAUUACUUAGGGCCUGUAAGCUGAGCCUGGUGGCCUCCUACCCUUGGUCCUGCUCUAGGAAGUGUGAUUGUCACACUUGCUGUGUUGUCCAGAGGUCCGGUCUAGCUGCUGUUGUGGAGGCAAGGAAGGCAGCUCAUCCCUGGAAGGUUCUUCUUUUGGCUUAGCUACUGCUUUCUGAUUUUUCAGUAUGUGUUCUAUGUAAAAAAGCCCUUGGUUCUCAUGGAAGUAUCUUUUUUUUUUUUUUUUUUUUAGCAGGAACAAUAAAUUUU